rnacentral:rRNA from 1 species
CUCGUAGGCGGCCAACUAAGUCAGACGUGAAAUCCCUCGGCUUAACCGGGGAACUGCGUCUGAUACUGGAUGGCUCGAGUUUGGGAGAGGGAUGCGGAAUUCCAGGUGUAGCGGUGAAAUGCGUAGAUAUCUGGAGGAACACCGGUGGCGAAGGCGGCAUCCUGGACCAACACUGACGCUGAGUGAGCGAAAGCCAGGGGAGCAAACG